UACGUAGGUGACCAGCGUUGUCCGGAUUUACUGGGCGUAAAGAGCGCGCAGGCGGUCGUUCAAGUCGAGUGUGAAAGCCCCCGGCUCAACCGGGGAACUGCGUCUGAUACUGGGUGGCUUGAAUCCGGGAGAGGGAUGCGGAAUUCCAGGUGUAGCGGUGAAAUGCGUAGAUAUCAGGAGGAACACCGGUGGCGAAGGCGGGAUCCUGGGCCAGUACUGACGCUGAGGAGCGAAAGCGUGGGGAGCAAACAGG
rnacentral:rRNA from 1 species